UACAGAGGGGGCAAGCGUUAUUCGGAAUUAUUGGGCGUAAAGGGCGCGUAGGCGGCUUUGCAAGUGACGGGUGAAAGCCCUCGGCUUAACCGAGGAACUGCCUGUCAGACUGUGAGGCUUGAGACCGGGAGAGGUGAGUGGAAUUCCCAGUGUAGCGGUGAAAUGCGUAGAUAUUGGGAGGAACACCGAUGGCGAAGGCAGCCAUCUGGACCGACACUGACGCUGAGGCGCGAAAGCGUGGGGAGCAAACAGGG
rnacentral:rRNA from 1 species